CGGGGCGUAGCGCAGCCUGGUAGCGCACUUGCAUGGGGUGCAAGGGGCCGCAGGUUCAAAUCCUGCCGCCCCGA
rnacentral:tRNA from 1 species